rnacentral:rRNA from 1 species
UACAGAGGUCCCAAGCGUUGUUCGGAAUUACUGGGUGUAAAGGGUGCGCAGGCGGCCGAGUGUGUGAGGCGUGAAAGCCCGGGGCUUAACCCCGGAAUUGCACCUCAAACUACACGGCUAGAGCAUUGGAGAGGGUAGCAGAAUUCAUGGUGUAGCAGUGAAAUGCGUAGAUAUCAUGAGGAAUACCAGAGGCGAAGGCGGCUACCUGGACAAUUGCUGACGCUCAGGCACGAAAGCGUGGGGAGCAAAAGGG